AGUCUGAGCCUCGGUAUUCUUUCUAGGAGGAGGCAUUCACCCCUUUUCUUGCCCAAGGUCUUCUCAGGAAUACAGAGUACUUGCAGUCCUGCUGCCAGCAGGAGAACAACCUUGCAUUUAGAGGUGAAUCUUAUUUUAUUUUCUGCUCAUUAUUCAACUCUCUAGGCUCUUGUAAUUUUUUCCCCAUCCUUACUGUUAACAAGUCCAUCACACUGUAAAUUUCAUUAAUGGGAUGUGGUUUCUUCCUUUCUGAGAAAUCAUUAAUGAAGAUAUUAAAACUUGAGCAAACCCAGGCAUUCACUAGCUAUCUCACCCAAGUCUUACAAAUUGCCACUUCUCAUUAUCUUUUGUUAAUAGGUCUUCAGCCACCUUCAGCCCAUGCGUGUGCUGGUUUGUUCCCUAGACAGUUUGAAUUAAUUUUGAAAGCUGCUGCUGAAUGUUUUAUAAAAAAAUAAAAAUAAACAAAUAAAAUGAUAUCCACAGCUCCAAAUUCAUCAAAAAAUAUUGAUAUUUUGUAUAAUAAACCAACAAAUUAUGUUUGCCUUGCAAGAUCCAUACUUUGUAAAUUCACAUUACUAGUUGCUGUUUCUUUCAUCAUCCUCCAAAAUUUUAGAAAAUCCUUUUUCCCCAGCACUUCUUUGGCAUCCUAAAGAUCAAAGUCAAAUUUCUUAGGGCAAUAUUAUGGUUGCAUGUAUAUAACCACUGUGUUUGGCUGCCUUCAACUUUCUGAAGUCCAGUAGUAGAUAAUAAUUGUUUAAAUUCAUUCCUCAAUUUCUAUUCUUCUGUUUGUAUGAUAUGUAACCAACAGUGGUUUGAAAUGCAUGUGGAGGCUGUGAAGCCUUAAAAUUGCUUCUUGUCUGGUCUUGUUUUUAUAGACAGUUUCCAGAUUAUUGACACAACACUGUACUGUUUCACUUCCAUACUUGUCUUUUAAUAUCUUUCUUCAUUGAUUUGUCUGGUGCUAUUUUUCUGUUCCAGUUUCCCAGUACUGUGCUAACCUAGUUACUUUCCAGCGUCUUUAUUCAAAGCCUUAACAGCCUGGAGGAGAGAUGGCCUUGUGUCCUUCAAGUACUUAGCAGGAGGGAGACUGACUUUUCACAUGGCUUUGUAGUGAUAGGACAAGGGGGAAUGGUUUCAAACUAAAAGAGGGAAGAUUAGGGUUAGAUAUUAGGGGAAAAUUUUUUACUCAGAGAGUGGUGAGCCACUGGCACAGGCUGUCCAGAGAAGCUGUGGAUGCUCCAUCCCUGGAGGCAUCAAGGCCAGAUUGGAGGGGGCCUUGGGCAAUCCUGAUCUAGUGCCUGAUUUAGUGGUUGGCAAUACUGUCCAUGGCAGGGGAGUUAUGGUUUUGAUCACUAGGGUCCCUUCCAAUCCAAGCCAUCCUAUGAUUCUAUGAAUCAAACACACUAGAACCUUUCAUGGAAUAUGCAUCUGCUCUCCAUCCUUUGAAUAUUUCAAGAACUUCAUUGGUUUUAGUCAAAAGCACUACUCUGUAUCUUUUUCUGAGUAACGUCAUCAAGAAACAGUCUAACCCUAAAUAUUAAUCUAGGUAUCAAAAGUUACUGUUCUACAUAUCAUGUGGAAAAAUAUCUGUCUUCAAAUCAACCAUCAAAUUUGCAGCAGUGAUGGACAAUUAUCUGCUAUCUGUAAAGUGUCAUCAUUCAGAACAUUGUAUAUCCAUUAUUAUCCUUAUUCUGGAUGUCAUGCAUUUUGGCAAAAGAAAUUUGCAAAGG
ensembl:lncRNA